UACAGAGGGUGCGAGCGUUAAUCGGAAUUACUGGGCGUAAAGCGCGCGUAGACGGUUUGGUAAGUCAGAUGUGAAAUCCCCGGGCUCAACCUGGGAACUGCAUUUGAUACUGCCUGGCUAGAGUAUGGAAGAGGGAAGUGGAAUUUCCGGUGUAGCGGUGAAAUGCGUAGAUAUCGGAAGGAACACCAGUAGCGAAGGCGGCACUCUGGGCCGGAACUGACGCUGAGGAGCGAAAGCGUGGGGAGCAAACAGG
rnacentral:rRNA from 1 species